AUUGAACGCUGGCGGNAGUCUUAACACAUGCAAGUCGACCGGUAACAGGAACUAGCUCGCUAUUCUGCUGACGAGUGGCGGACGGGUGAGUAUGCUUGGGAAUUUGCCUUGUUGCGGGGGACAACAGUUGGAAACGACUGCUAAUACCGCAUAAUGUCUCCGGACCAAAGGUGGCCUCUAUUUAUAUGCUAUCGCGACAAGAUGAGCCCAAGUGGGAUUAGCUAGUUGGUAAGGUAAUGGCUUACCAAGGCUUCGAUCCCUAGCUGGUCUUAGAGGAUGACCAGCCACACUGGAACUGAGACACGGUCCAGACUCCUACGGGAGGCAGCAGUGGGGAAUAUUGCACAAUGGAGGAAACUCUGAUGCAGCCAUGCCGCGUGUGUGAAGAAGGCUUUCGGGUUGUAAAGCACUUUCAGCGAGGAGGAAAGGGUAAUGGUUAAUAUCCAUUAUCUGUGACGUUACUCGCAGAAGAAGCACCGGCUAACUCCGUGCCAGCAGCCGCGGU
rnacentral:rRNA from 1 species